CGCCUCCUGACCACACCACAUAGGAGGUCCCGCCUGCCCAGUGACCAAAAGUUUAACGGCCGCGGUAUUUUAACCGUGCAAAGGUAGCGCAAUCAAUUGUCUUUUAAAUGAAGACCUGUAUGAAUGGCAUAACGAGGGUUUAACUGUCUCUUUCUCCUGGUCAGUGAAACUGAUCUACCCGUGCAGAAGCGGGUAUGAAUAUACAAGACGAGAAGACCCUAUGGAGCUUUAGACGCCCACCAAUCACGAAAAGCAGGUCUCGCUCAACAGACUUCCAAACAACCUGAUACUGGCACAAACGUCUUCGGUUGGGGCGACCGCGGGAGAGAAAAAAGCUCCCGAGAGGAUUGGGGCUACCCUAAAACCAAGAGCUACACCUCUAAGUCACAAAACAUUUGACCAAAAAUGAUCCGGCUACAUGCCGAUUAACGAACCAAGUUACCCUAGGGAUAACAGCGCAAUCCCUUCCCAGAGUCCAUAUCGACGAAGGGGUUUACGACCUCGAUGUUGGAUCAGGACAUCCUAAUGGUGCAGCCGCUAUUAAGGGUUCGUUUGUUCAACGAUUAAAGUCCU
rnacentral:rRNA from 1 species